ACGUAGUAGCUGUUAUAAGCGCACAGUGCUGCCGUCUAUCGAUACCUACGUGAAUCAAUAGAGUGCAGGAUGCAUCCGAAAACUUAACCUUACUUCUCCGACAGAAAGAUUGAUUAUUCUGACACUAGCACGAUAGAUGGACCGUCUUGUCUCAUUCAUAUUCGAUCGAAAAGUAAUUAAGAAAGUUUUUUAAGAAACUUAUUAAUUGUCUAACAUUUUAUAAAUAACACUAUUAACUAUCACUGGGUGAGAACACGAUCGAACACGUUUUUUUUCCAUAACUCUUAAUACGAAAUGAAGCCACGUACGAAGAUUAUCUUCCAGAAACGUGUCGCACUUUCGUGACGGCAAGUACACGGCACACGUAGAUGACGUCAGACACCUUCGACCGGCGAGCCUUUUCGCUACAAAAACAGUUUUCUAUCUUAUCGACACGUCGUCGUUGCGUCCUCUCAACGAAGAACUAAAACGUCUUUUCUCGAGUCGAACUUGGCGCGAAUUUUUACAACAAAAAUCUUUUAUAUAUAUAUAUCUCUUAUUCGUCUUAUUUAUUUUAAUCGAUUUAAUUAAAUCAAUUCUCAAUAUCAUUACGUUUGUCUAUAACUUCUUGUAAUAAUAAUAAUUGUUGAUUGGUCCGUUACAAUAGAGAAUAUUUUUGAACAACGUAGUAAAAGUAUAAACAAAAGAAGUACGCUUAAUUACGCCAAACUUCGCGAUCGUUCUUUGUUUUAACGUUCGAUCGGAAAAUUCGUUGUAAUCGUCGUUGUCGUGACCAUUUUUUUUUUCUUGCGUUUCUCGUGAUAAGAAUUCGUUUCUUCGUUUGUUUAAACAGUGUACAUUUUUGCGUAGGAAGAUUCAAAUCGUUCCAGUAAUCUUAUGAAGCUCAAAUAUAUGCCGUAGUUCCUGUUAGCAGGGUGAAUCGGUAUGGAACAAAACAAAUAUGGAGGAGAACGUUUAUGACAGAAUUCCUCGGCGAUUUAUCAGAAAUAGAACAGAGGACAAUGGGCAUUAGUCGGCAAACUAUCGUCCGGUUUGUUUUACCCCUUGCCUAGAGAUAUCUCGCGAACUGUGCUAACGAAGGUCCGAAAGCGUUUGGCCUCGUAAUGACGAGGCCAACGUCGUAAAUUACGACGUCGAGCGCAAGAGAAUUCUCUGAAAGCUCGGAGAGGAAGGGUGGCGGAUUCUCCUGGAGAGGAGAAGAAGAGGAGGAGAGAGAUGAGGAGAGAGGAGAGAGGAGAGAGGAGAAAGAGCGAUGGCGAUGAAAGGGAAGCGUCGACUCGCGAACGACGCUACAUAAACACAGGAAUAGAGAGACGAUCAUAUAUAUAUAUAUAUAUAUAUAUAUAUAUAUAUAUGUAUAUAUGUAUAUAUGUAUGUGUAUACGUGAAUACUCAAACACUCAAACGAUUCACCCUUUGCAAUGGUGAACGCGAGGUACGUCCGUCCGCAGGCAUUAUAUGUUGGAAACGCAGUUUGUCUUAUCAUUCGCCAUCUAGUAAUGGCGAGGAGCAUUGCUUUACGACUAAUGGACUUGCACCGGUAAAUCACCACAGCACAAUGCUCGCCGCUCUGCGGACGAUUUACGAGCUUGGUCCAAACGCGGCAUCGAUCCUACGGUGUAUAAAAGAUCCGAGCUAGACUCCCUAGGACCGAACUCGAAAGUGGAUUUCAAGCUUUACGGUGUAAGAGAGUUUUGUAAAAGAUAGAUAAAUAGAGAUGGAUAGAUAGAUAGAUGGAUAGAGAGAGAAAGAGAGAGAGAGAGAGAGAGAGAGAGAGAGAGAGAGAGAGAGAGAAUUUCCUAUCGAAAUGCAAGAUCUCUAUACUUCGAAGAGUUAGUCUCAUAAAUCAUAAGAAAACUUUGCCAGACUUAAAUUCUUAACACCUUUUAAGUAGAUAAACCAAUCGUUAUCGGUGGAUAUUUUUCGUGUUAAUCUUUUACACGAUAACACCUAUGACUAUUAUUCUCGACGUUUACGUUCUUUUCUGGAAGAAAAAGAGAAAUGGAGCAAGAAAAAAAAAAAAAAAAAAAAAAAAAAAAAAAAAAAAAACAAAAAAAAAGGAAGCAAGAGAUUUUCACUGCCUUUCCAAAGGAAACAAUUUUAUUUUAAUGUUUAAUGCAUAUUUUGAAAUAUUUAUGCGUAUAUUCGUUCGAAGGAUCGCAUCGAACAUCACGUAAAUAUCUUUAUUAGCUACGAUAGUGUCUCGAUUGUUUUUCUUUUUCUUUUUCUUUUUCUUUUUUUUUUUUUUUCUUUUUUAUUUAUAUUAUUAUUUUGUAUUUCGUAUUUUUUUCAUCUUUGGAGAAUUUCAAUCAUCGAAGGACGAGAAGAAACUCGCAGUUAUAGGAACGUCGCUCGAUCCCGGAUGCAUCGAAGAUCGAGGCGCGAUCCUCAUCUUAAAAAGUAUGUACUUUCGAUGCUGCAGAGCGAAAAGCACUUAGGGAACGCCUCGGGUAAGCUGUGUAAUAGUAAUAAUAACGUUAUCGACGUUUUGUUCGAAGGGGACGAUAAAUGUUUAUCGGCGAAUACUCGUGCCCACGUAAACGAGGUUCCGGGGGCGUGAGUAAAUCUAUAAAAGACGGAAAUUUUUUUCAGCCGUAGGCUACGUAAAACUGCUACAGGAUAACCGUGCGCAUCCGAAUCGGAAGAGGACUUUAACGGAAAUAUUGUUUCUUCGAAUUCGUCGAGAAUUGUAUGUACAUUUAUAAUUUUUACAUCGUAGUUCUUUUAAAUGACGAAAAAUCGUAAAAUUAUCGACUAAAGAAAUAUCUGUCUUCUUAGAAAAAUUCUAUCUCAUUGUGACGAUCGAAUAUAUUCCAAAUUACAUAGUACUUUUUGUACUUGUUAAUAGCAAUGUCGUAAUGUUAUAAGCGUAACAAAGAGAGAAAGAAAAAAAAAAAAGAAAAGAAAAGAAAAGAAAAGAAAAGAAAAGAAAAGAGUUUUUCACCUUCGAAAAAUAUCGUCGAAGGUGGAUGACAAUAUCGAACGUCUUAAAAAAUAUUUAGAAUAUUUCGUGAAAUUGGACGAAAAUUUAU